rnacentral:rRNA from 1 species
UACGACGGGAGCUAGCGUUGUUCGGAAUCACUGGGCGUAAAGCGCACGUAGGCGGAUGUGUCAGUCAGGGGUGAAAUCCUGGAGCUCAACUCCAGAACUGCCUUUGAUACUGGCGAUCUUGAGUCCGGGAGAGGUGAGUGGAACUGCGAGUGUAGAGGUGAAAUUCGUAGAUAUUCGCAAGAACACCAGUGGCGAAGGCGGCUCUCUGGGACGGUACUGACGCUGAGACGCGAAAGCGUGGGGAGCGAACAGG